rnacentral:rRNA from 1 species
CCUAUGGGUGGCUGCAGUGGGGAAUAUUGGGCAAUGGAGGCAACUCUGACCCAGCAACGCCGCGUGAAUGAUGAAGGUCUUCGGAUUGUAAAGUUCUGUGAUGGGGGAUGAACACAAUGACGUUACCACAAUAGCAAGCCACGGCUAACUACGUGCCAGCCGCCGCGUUAAUACGUAGGUGGCAAGCGUUGUCCGGAUUUACUGGGUGUAAAGGGCGUGCAUCCGGAGAGACAAGUCAGAUGUGAAAUCCACGGGCUCAACCCGUGAACUGCAUUUGAUACUGUUUACCUUGAGUGUCGGAGAGGUGAUCGGAAUUCCUAGUGUAGCGGUGAAAUGCGUAGAUAUUAGGAGGAACACCAGUGGCGAAGGCGGAUUACUGGACGAUAACUGACGGUGAGGCGCGAAAGCGUGGGGAGCAAACAGGAUUAGAUACCCCAGUAGUC